rnacentral:rRNA from 1 species
UAACACCUGGAAACAGAUGCUAAUACCGGAUAACAACACUAGACGCAUGUCUAGAGUUUAAAAGAUGGUUCUGCUAUCACUCUUGGAUGGACCUGCGGUGCAUUAGCUAGUUGGUAAGGUAACGGCUUACCAAGGCAAUGAUGCAUAGCCGAGUUGAGAGACUGAUCGGCCACAUUGGGACUGAGACACGGCCCAAACUCCUACGGGAGGCAGCAGUAGGGAAUCUUCCACAAUGGACGCAAGUCUGAUGGAGCAACGCCGCGUGAGUGAAGAAGGGUUUCGGCUCGUAAAGCUCUGUUGGUAGUGAAGAAAGAUAGAGGUAGUAACUGGCCUUUAUUUGACGGUAAUUACUUAGAAAGUCACGGCUAACUACGUGCCAGCAGCCGCGGUAAUACGUAGGUGGCAAGCGUUGUCCGGAUUUAUUGGGCGUAAAGCGAGUGCAGGCGGUUCAAUAAGUCUGAUGUGAAAGCCUUCGGCUCAACCGGAGAAUUGCAUCAGAAACUGUUGAACUUGAGUGCAGAAGAGGAGAGUGGAACUCCAUGUGUAGCGGUGGAAUGCGUAGAUAUAUGGAAGAACACCAGUGGCGAAGGC